GAUUAACGCUGGCGGCAUGCCUAAUACAUGCAAGUCGAACGGAAGCAGCAAUGCUUUAGUGGCGAACGGGUGAGUAACACGUAGGGAACCUACCUAUACGACGAGGAUAACUACUGGAAACGGUAGCUAAAACUGGAUAGGAUCAAUUGAGGCAUCUUGAUUGAUUUAAAGAUCCUUCGGGAUUACGUAGAGAUGGCCCUGCGGCGCAUUAGCUAGUUGGUGAGGUAACGGCCCACCAAGGCGACGAUGCGUAGCUGAGCUGAGAGGCUAAACAGCCACACUUGGGACUGAGACACGGCCCAGACUCCUACGGGAGGCAGCAGUAGGGAAUUUUCGGCAAUGGGGGAAACCCUGACCGAGCAAUGCCGCGUGAACGAUGAAGGUCUUCGGAUUGUAAAGUUCUGUGAUUGGGGAAGAAUGGUAUUCUUAGGGAAUGAGGAGUACAUGACGGUACCCGAUUAGAAAGCCCCGGCUAACUAUGUGCCAGCAGCCGCGGUAAAUACG
rnacentral:rRNA from 1 species